GAUGAACGCUGGCGGCGUGCCUAAUACAUGCAAGUCGAGCGAACGGACGAGAAGCUUGCUUUUCUGAUGUUAGCGGCGGACGGGUGAGUAACACGUGGAUAACCUACCUAUAAGACUGGGAUAACUUCGGGAAACCGGAGCUAAUACCGGAUAAUAUUUUGAACCGCAUGGUUCAAAAGUGAAAGACGGUCUUGCUGUCACUUAUAGAUGGAUCCGCGCUGCAUUAGCUAGUUGGUAAGGUAACGGCUUACCAAGGCAACGAUGCAUAGCCGACCUGAGAGGGUAGUCGGCCACAGUGGAACUGAGACACGGUCCGGACUCCUACGGGAGGCAGCAGUAGGGAAUCUUCCGCGAUGGGCGAAAGCCUGACGGAGCAACGCCGCGUGAGUGAUGAAGGUCUUCGGAUCGUAAAACUCUGUUAUUAGGGAAGAACAUAUGUGUAAGUAACUGUGCACAUCUUGACGGUACCUAAUCAGAAAGCCACGGCUAAGUACGUG
rnacentral:rRNA from 1 species